AUGAUUUCUUCAACGUCCAGAUUUGGCAUACCCUGUGGCCUCAAGACUCUACUCGAAGGAAUUAGCAGAGCCACUAUCAAAAGCAACCCAUCAACCAGUUUGCAGUAGUUUAUUUUAAAGAACUUACUAUGUAUAGAGAAGGGAAUGCUUCUCUGGAUAUAAAGGAUUUGGUUAAACAGUUUUAUCAGAUUAAAGUACAGAAGUGGUCAGAAGGAUCGAUAUGACCGAAGAAAGUAGAAUGUUUAAAAGAACCAGAAAAAAGAUCUGUAGAAUCUGAAGUACCUACAUGGAUGGGAAAAUCUACAGACACAGAGGAGGACAAUGUAACCGGAACAGGAUAUAGUGACAAAACCACCCAGUUUCCAUCAACUUAUGCUGAGCUAGGCGCUGAGCAAACUGAAGCAGUUCAUGAUUCUUCUCCCAAAGCAGCUACCCCUAAGACUACUACCCAACCCUCCUCACCACCUCCAACAGCUGUCUCACCAGAGUUUGCCUAUGUCCCAGCUGACCCAGCUCAGCUUGCUGCUCAGAUGUUAGAAGAUGUAGCUAAAAAAAGUUCAGGAUCUGGUGACAAAUGUGCUCCCUUUGGAAGUUACGGUAUUGCUGGGGAGAUAACUGUGGCUACUGCUCACAAAGUUCGCAAAGCAGAAACUGAAAACUGGUAG